rnacentral:other from 1 species
AACUUACAAUCUCAGAAGGGAGGUCAGCACUAAUAAGCCGUGUGCCAGCUUCACUUAGAUGAAGACGCCUAACGCUCAUUAUCCGACAUCCACCUGUACAUAAGAGUU